ACGUCGCGUCAGGAUUGUUGAAUCAGUUUCGGGCGGCGCGUUAAUUAAAGUGCACGCGCGAGAGAGGUACUUUUUCGAUUCGAAUCGCGAUCGGCCAGGAGGACGGCCUUCCAAGGAACCGGAUGCUCGCCGCGGUCCGAAGUAUGGUUAUAUUCGCUCGGAGAGAAUCGCGACGCGUCGUAGUGGUUAAAAGAGUGGUUCGAUGAAUAAUUAAUAAGCAGAUGCUACUCCGUGCGUCUUUGCGAAGUGUGGCUGUAUCGGAGUGCGUAUCUCGGGAAUGCGUCGACGAUCAUCGAACGGAAAUUGGCUUGGACGAAGCAGCCGGCGACGAGAACAACGCGGAAUCUGGUGGUUGGCGUAAAUAACUCACGGUUCACACAACGUUAGAGAGAGACAGCGGUUCACACAACGUUAGAGAGAGAUAGCGGUUCACACAACGUUAGAGAGAGACAGCGGUUCACACGGAGAAUUAAUUGGCAUUUUUGCUUCUUCACAUAUUCUUCGAGGUGGACAGCGACGAGAAGAGGACAACGUCCAUUGUCGCCGAUUUGGACAUGACUAAUAAAAUAAACAAAUCGCAGCCGAUUUGUCGCGUCGCGCGUUUGCUUCGGGAGUGCCGUUUGAGUAUUGGACUAAAUAGACUUUUUUCAUAACUCCUAUUCGAUAGAAUUCUAAUUCGAGGGCCGGGAAUCGCACCCCCGCUGCUUGGCAGUGGAUAUAUUCUCACUGGGGCGUUGCGCAUGGUGGCCGCGCGCGGCGCACCGCGAUGUUCCAUGCCGAGUGCCCGUGCACGAGGUAAUGCCGGGCCGCGUUAUAGCAUGUUUCCCCUGUGUGCAUGUUGCGCGGCUGUCUGGUUGUGUGAGGUUUACACGC
rnacentral:lncRNA from 13 species